rnacentral:rRNA from 1 species
CCUACGGGAGGCAGCAGUGAGGAAUAUUGGUCAAUGGUCGCGAGCCUGAACCAGCCAAGUAGCGUGAAGGAGGACUGUCCUACGGGUUGUAAACCUCUUUUGUCAGGGAAUAAAGUGAGGCACGUGUGCCCGUUUGUAUGUACUUUAUGAAUAAGGAUCGGCUAACUCCGUGCCAGCAGCCGCGGUAAUACGGAGGAUCCGAGCGUUAUCCGGAUUUAUUGGGUUUAAAGGGUGCGUAGAUGGUUUGUUAAGUCAGUGGUGAAAGUUUGCGGCUCAACCGUGGAAUUGCCAUUGAUACUGGCAGUCUUGAGUACAGGUGAAGUAGGCGGAAUUCGCGGUGUAGCGGUGAAAUGCAUAGAGAUCACGCAGAACUCCGAUUGCGAAGGCAGCUUACCAAC